UACGGAGGGUGCAAGCGUUAUCCGGAUUUACUGGGUUUAAAGGGUGCGUAGGUGGGUCUGUAGGUCAGUGGUGAAAUCUCCGAGCUUAACUCGGAAACUGCCAUUGAUACUAUAGGUCUUGAAUUAUCUGGAGGUAAGCGGAAUAUGUCAUGUAGCGGUGAAAUGCUUAGAUAUGACAUAGAACACCCAUUGCGAAGGCAGCUAACUACGCGAUAAUUGACGCUGAUGCACGAAAGCGUGGGGAUCAAACAGG
rnacentral:rRNA from 1 species